rnacentral:rRNA from 1 species
UACGGGGGGGGCAAGCGUUGUUCGGAAUUACUGGGCGUAAAGGGCUCGUAGGUGGCCAACUAAGUCGGACGUGAAAUCCCUCAGCUUAACUGGGGAACUGCGUCCGAUACUGGAUGGCUUGAGUUUGGGAGAGGGAUGCGGAAUUCCAGGUGUAGCGGUGAAAUGCGGUAGAUAUCGGAAGGAACAUCAGUGGCGAAAGCGACUUCCUGGACCAAUACUGACGCUCAUGGUGCGAAAAGCGUGGGGAGCAAACAGGG